UAAUUGAGACUGCACCUGCUGAGAAUUAAACAGCCAAUUAGAGGCUUCACGGAGUCCUCCCAGCCCACCUCUAGUCCAAUUACCGAGGAAGCUUCCACCUCCUCUCUGGGGGAUAAUCCGCGCUCCUGAGUCUGGGACCGAGGUGCGAGGGCGUGGAGUCACUCAUGCGUGUCACCGUUAGCAAAAAAUUAGUGCCUUUGUACAAAGCCAGUGCCACCCGACACCCCAGUUACCGUGGGGAAAGCAGCCUUGAGAUGGGCGAUGCUCCGCCGCUUGUUUCCUCUGUGAUCUUUUGCCUUGAUUGGUUCUAAUACUGUGGCAGGGACUCAGGAGGCAUGGAAAACAUUUGUUUUUGUUUUGAAAACCUGAAACAGCUUGGGAGAGGUUGAGGGGAAGGAGCUGCUCGGAGGAGUGAACAGACGAUGAAGACGGAUACGGCAGCAGGAGAGAUGGAGAGGAACCCGAGUUUGAGCGCGUGGUGAUUUAUUUUAGAGUGUGAGAGAGCGAGAGAGAGAGAGAGCAAGGAGGGAGGGACAGAAGGAGAGAGAGAAAAUCUCAAGCAGACGCCACGCUGAGCGCAGAGCCCCAGUGGGGUUCGAUCUCAGGACUCUGAGAUCAUGAUCUACGCUGAAAUCAAGAGUAGGACACUCAACCGACUGAGCCACCCAGGAGCCCCUAAUUUCCAUUUAAGUCAGAGAGAGACACAGCGAGAGAGGGAACACAAGCAGGAGGAGUGGGAGAGGGAGAAGCAGGCUUCCCGCUGAGCAGGGAGCCUGAUGCGGGGCUCGAUCCCAGGACCCUGGGAUCAUGACCUGAACCGAAGGCAGACACUUAACGACUGAGCCACCCAGGCGCCCCUCAAUAAUGAAUUUUAUGAAACCUAAGAACAGCUCCGAUCUUUCUGGGGAAAAUUUUGUGAUUGAACUGAGAUGUGCUAUAAGUGUAAGCUAUACACUGGAUUUCAAACACGUAAUAUGAAAAAAUAAUUAAAAUAUUUCAUUAUUAAUUUUCAUAUUGAUAACAUGCUGAAAUGAUCAUCGUUUGGGUACCCUGGGUUAAAUAAAAUAUAGUAUCAAAAUGUAAUUGUAUCUGGGUCUUUUGCUUUUUAAAUGUAAUACUAGAACAUUUGAAAUUACGUGGGUGACUCACAUUCUGUUGCUAUUGGGCAGUGUUGCUCCGAGACUCUGGGACUCAGGCAGCUGCAUCUUCUGCUCUAGGGCACAUCAUCUGUCCCUCACUGCCUCUGGGGGCUCCCCAGAGAUUUGUCUGCACAGCAGUGCUGCUUCUGUCCUCUCCUGCAUCGCAGAGUGGGCAACUAGAGUAAGAACCUCUAGUACUAGACCUCCAAGUCUCAACCUAGUAAGCUGCGGGUAGAAGAUCUCGGAGAAGAAAGGGCUGUGCCAGCGAAACCU